rnacentral:rRNA from 1 species
UGGCGGCGUGCCUAACACAUGCAAGUCGAUUGGAGAAUUUUAUUUCGGUAGAAUUCUUAGUGGCGAACGGGUGAGUAACGCGUAGGCAACCUACCCUUUAGAUGGGGACAACAUUCCGAAAGGAGUGCUAAUACCGGAUGUGAUCAUCUUGCCGCAUGGCAGGAUGAAGAAAGAUGGCCUCUACAAGUAAGCUAUCGCUAAAGGAUGGGCCUGCGUCUGAUUAGCUAGUUGGUAGUGUAACGGACUACCAAGGCGAUGAUCAGUAGCCGGUCUGAGAGGAUGAACGGCCACAUUGGGACUGAGACACGGCCCAAACUCCUACGGGAGGCAGCAGUGGGGAAUCUUCCGCAAUGGACGAAAGUCUGACGGAGCAACGCCGCGUGAGUGAUGAAGGAUUUCGGUCUGUAAAGCUCUGUUGUUUAUGACGAACGUGCAGUGUGUGAACAAUGCAUUGCAAUGACGGUAGUAAACGAGGAAGCCACGGCUAACUACGUGCCAGCAGCCGCGGUAAUACGUAGGUGGCGAGCGUUGUCCGGAAUUAUUGGGCGUAAAGAGCAUGUAGGCGGCUUAAUAAGUCGAGCGUGAAAAUGCGGGGCUCAACCCCGUAUGGCGCUGGAAACUGUUAGGCUUGAGUGCAGGAGAGGAAAGGGGAAUUCCCAGUGUAGCGGUGAAAUGCGUAGAUAUUGGGAGGAACACCAGUGGCGAAGGCGCCUUUCUGGACUGUGUCUGACGCUGAGAUGCGAAAGCCAGGGUAGCGAACGGGAUUAGAUACCCCGGUAGUCCUGGCCGUAAACGAUGGGUACUAGG